GACGAACGCUGCCGGCGUGCUUAACACAUGCAAGUCGAGCGAGCGGCGGACGGGUGGAUAAUGUAUGGGGACUGCCCGAUGGAGGGGGAUAACUACUGGAACUGGUGGCUAAUACCGCAUACUAUCGGAUAACCCAUAUGGGAUUAGCUCGUAGGUGGGGUAAAGGCUCACCUAGGCGACGAUCUGUAGCUGGUCUGAGAGGAUGAACAGCCACACUUGAACUGAGACACGGCCCAGACUCCUACGGAGGCAACAGUGGGGAAUAUUGCAGAAGGGGCGAAAACCUGAUGCAGCCAUGCCGCGUGUAUGAAGAAGGCCUUAGGGUUGUAAAGUACUUUCAGCGAGGAGGCGUUACGCGCAGAAGAAGCACCGGCUAACUCCGUGCCAGCAGCCGCGGUAAUAC
rnacentral:rRNA from 1 species